UAAAGGUAUCAAAUCAACAAAAGCAAAUGAGCUCCUUAAAGCAAAAAUAAAUUAAGGCUUCAGCAAAAAUGAAUGACCGAGUGUGGCCGCUGCACCUGCAAAGCUAAAUCACGGUUGUUGCAGCACUGCACCUAAUUCAUUCAUUGUUUGAAACUAUUAAAAUAAAAAGAAAGAUGCUCAUACAAAUAUAAAGGAAAAUAAACUGACAGCAGCGCAUAAAUUUCACUCUCCCAUUCAUCCAAAAUCCAUCACCUU
rnacentral:lncRNA from 1 species